GUAACGGCGAGUGAAGCGGCAACAGCUCAAAUUUGAAAUCUGGUCCCCUCGCGGGGCCCGAGUUGUAGUUUGCAGAGGAUGCUUUGGGCGAGGCGCCUUCCGAGUGCCCUGGAACGGGACGCCGCAGAGGGUGAGAGCCCCCUACGGUCGGCUGCCGAGCCUCUGUAAAGCUCCCUCGACGAGUCGAGUAGUUUGGGAAUGCUGCUCUAAACGGGAGGUACACCCCUUCUAAAGCUAAAUACCCGCCAGAGACCGAUAGCGCACAAGUAGAGUGAUCGAAAGAUGAAAAGCACUUUGAAAAGAGAGUUAAACAGCACGUGAAAUUGUUGAAAGGGAAGCGCUUGUGGCCAGACUCGGGCCCGGCGGCUCAGCCGUCCCUCGCGGGCGGUGCACUCUGCCGGGCCUGGGCCAGCAUCAGCUCGCGGCGGGGGAGAAAGGCGGUGGGAACGUGGCUCUUCGGAGUGUUAUAGCCCGCCGUCAUGCCCUGCUGCGGGCUGAGGUUCGCGCUCCGCAAGGAUGCUGGCGUAAUGGCCACCAGCGACCCGUCUUGAAACACGGACCAAGGAGUCGUCCUAGCAUGCGAGUGUUCGGGUGCAAAGCCCCUACGCGGAAUGAAAGUGAACGUAGGUGGGAGCCUCUGGCGCACCACCGACCGAUCCUGAUGUUCUCGGAUGGAUUUGAGUAAGAGCAUGCUGGGCCGGACCCGAAAGAAGGUGAACUAUGCUUGGAUAGGGCAAAGCCAGAGGAAACUCUGGUGGAGGCUCGCAGCGGUUCUGACGUGCAAAUCGAUCGUCAAAUCUGAGCAUGGGGGCGAAAGUAAGCAGAAGCCACUCCCCCGGAACAGUCGAGGCAGCAGUUGCUAACCCGCGUUUUUAGGACUAAUCGAACCUUCUAGUAGCUGGUUUCCGCCGAAGUUUCCCUCAGGAUAGCAGUGUUGAGCUUCAGUUUUAUGAGGUAAAGCGAAUGAUUAGGGACUCGGGGGCGCUAUUUAGCCUUCAUCCAUUCUCAAACUUUAAAUAUGUAAGAAGCCCUCGUUCCUUCAGUG
rnacentral:rRNA from 1 species